rnacentral:rRNA from 1 species
UACGUAGGGUGCAGGCGUUAAUCGGAAUUACUGGGCGUAAAGCGUGCGUAGGCGGUUUGUUAAGACAGGUGUGAAAUCCCCGGGCUUAACCUGGGAACUGCGCUUGUUACUGGCAGACUGGAGUGUGGCAGAGGGGGGGUGGAAUUCCAGGUGUAGCAGUGAAAUGCGUAGAGAUGCGGAGGAACACCGAUGGCGAAGGCAGCCCCCCUGGGCUGCACCUGACGCUGAACUGCGAAAGCCAGGGGGAGCGAACGGG